rnacentral:rRNA from 1 species
AUACGGAGGAUCCGAGCGUUAUCCGGAUUUAUUGGGUUUAAAGGGUGCGCAGGCGGCCAUUUAAGUCAGCGGUUAAAUCGUGGGGCUCAACCCCAUUCUGCCGUUGAUACUGGGUGGCUUGAUUGCGGUCGAGGUUGGCGGAAUUCGUUGUGUAGCGGUGAAAUGCAUAGAUAUGACGAAGAACACCGAUUGCGUAGGCAGCUGACCAGACCGCAAAUGACGCUCAUGCACGAAAGUGCUGGGAUCGAACAGGAUUAGAUACCCUGGUAGUCCGCACAGUAAACGAUGAAUACUUGUUUUCGGCGAUAUAAUGUCGGAGGCAAAGCGAAAGCGAUAAGUAUUCCACCUGGGGAGUACGCCGGCAACGGUGAAACUCAAAUGAAUUGACGGG